UUUAGAUCCACCGUAAACUGCUGAAAGUCCCCGUCGCGCCGUCACAAGCUUUUCCGGUGACAAGGACACCGUCAGGCAAUUGUAUUUUGAGAGAUCGGCUUUAGAUGUUGAGUGUUGAGAAUAAAGUGCAAUGUGAGGAGAUUGAAUUAGUAGAUAAAGGUGAUGACUCCAUUCCGAAUUCUUUGUUUGGAGCGAUUAAACGAUGUUUUGUUGACAGGAUUAACAGUGAAGUGUAUGAGAAUGUGGCUGGGAACUUGGUUUUGAGGUAGAUUUUCGGGAUUAGUUUUAAUGGUCCUUUUUUGGCUGCCAAAGGAGGUUGGUUCAUCAUUUAUAGUGCUUGAAUCAUCUUUGGUUAGAGACCCUGUUGUUAUAAAAUCUUCUGGGACGUUAAUUCAGGGAAUAAAGGUCAAGUUUGGUUCUGCAGAAAGUGGGCUCGGUUGUGUCAUCAACUUCAAGGAGGUUUUAUCUUACUAAUGAUGUUGAGUCACAGAUGGUGAGAUCGUUAUCUUUAGAUGUGGUUUUGUCAGGGUUGGAUUUGUCAUCAAUUCUAAUUUGGAUUCGUCAAAGGAGUUUUAGUUGCGGGGCAGUUAUUUGAUUCCGUUAUUUGCACAGCCCAUUUAUCCAUUACUCUUGGUUUUGCAUGAUAUAUUUGCCGAUCUCCCAUCAAUGUUAAGAGCUCUUGCCCUUGCAGAAAAGAUGCUUUUUGAUGUGAACAGAGGAGAAGUUGUGGAUACUCAAGUUAUUUUUUAAGUUUCACUUUUAACAAUGCUGGUCGGCUACCUAUCAAUAAAUUAAGGGAUUCUAACUCAUCUAAUAUUGAUUUUUCUGAGCUUCCACUUGAGGAUAAAUCACAAGCACUCCUUGCACAGUCUCUCCAAAGUCAAGCUAAGAAGUUCAAGACUAUGGUAGCAGUAGUGGGUGCUAGUUACUUAGCUGGGCUUUCAGAACAUUGGAAUACUCCUAUUCCUGAUAAGGUCAAAGAUUUGAUUGGAGAGUCAGUUACAAGCUGCAAAGAUGAUGGGGAUAUUUCAAAUCACAUGGAUAAGAAGCGUUUAUUAUCUAAUAAACUUGUCAUGGCUGUGGGUGCUGGAGCAAUUGUUGUUUUAGGAGCUUCAUCUCUCACUAAACUUCUUCCUGCAUCAACCUUCAUAAAGGUUGUGAGGUUUAAAGCUUCUAUUUCACUUAAGUUUUUCUUACCCAAUUCCAAAAAACAAUGGUGAUAGCUUUAGGCAAGACUCGAGUUUUUGCCCCAGGACAAGCAACUUUUGGGUCAAAUACAUAUAUCUUAAAGACAGUAACUUCUGCUGAGAAAAUUCGGGGCAAUGGCCCACCAUGUUGCAGCAUCUGUUAAGAAGACCAGUUUUCAACAAUUAGAACAGCAUUUUAUGAAAUAGUGAGAAAAAGGCGGGUACCUCCAAUCAGUGUCCUACCAUGGGCUACAUUUGCAGGUAGUAUUGUAACUUGUGCUGAUUGCUUGUGUAUGGAGAUGGGGUUGAAUGUGUUGCUGAAUCUUCGCCCAUAGCUCCUUCAAUUCCCAAUUAAGAGCGUGAGAUUCAAUAUCUACAUGAGGCAUCUCAGAAAAUGAAUCAAGACAGAUGACACCAUGAUUAAAAAAUCUAUUAAAUCAUCGACGUACAUGUUGAAGAAAUUAUAGAUUGAAUAAAGUAAGACUUCAAUUAUUUUCUUAUCAAUGAAUAGUAUUUAUAGUUCUACUCAUUGAUUAUUUUAAAAAGUUCCAUAAAUUAAAGAUGACAGAUUCUUAUGCACAAAUUGAGUCUGGGCAGCAUCGAUUGUAUCAUCAUGGGUGUUUAAGUUCUAAUCAUAGAGUUCUUUUGGUGCACCAAUGAGUACUCCAAUGUUUUUAGAC